UAAUCACGUGACUGCCGCGCUCUGUUUGGCGGGUCUAUGAUGAAGUCAUCUAACUAGGAACAAAGCAUCUUCAUCUUUGCUUUAGACCUCUCAGCGGUCCGAUUUUUUUCAUUGCUGAUUUUCUUCUGAAAAUGACGGCGAGCUAUCUACACAUCGCUACGCGAUGGAGCCAUCUGUUGAGCUGAUGGAGUUUGGGAUGGUGAGCCUCUGCAGGGAUCCGUUUGGAGAAUCCAGGUUGAGUUGAGGCAGAGAGAUGGCGUUCUUGAUGAUGGGCGAGAUGUCUGGUGGCGGCGACGACAAGUCCCGCGCUUCUCCCCGCGGCCCGGAAUUCUUCCGGAUGUGCCUGAAAGUGCGCGUGAAAAAGCCGUUGGACUUGGAGCUGUGUGCCGAGUCCGGGCUGCUCGGUUCCUUGGCGCCGCCGUAGUUGCUCAGGAAGGAAGUGUCUCCAAACACGUCCCCGCCGCGGCCCACGUGCAUGGUGUGGCGGAAGUCGCCCAUGGGCGGGCUGAUCAUGUCCACGGACAGGUCGCUCUUGAAACGACGGCGCUCCUGGGAGCCGGACACCAGGCCCUUGAUCCCGGGACGCUUGCCUCCACUCAUGUCUGAUGGAAUGUUGGACCGGGAGUUUGUGUCCCAGGUCUGAUCACAGGUCAGUCCAGGUCCACUGCGGACAAAACAAAACCAAAUGACUUGACUCAGACAAUCUUUUAGUCUUUACUUCCAUCUUUAGAACAUUUAAUUUUCCUGCCUUUCACAUUUGAAUAAGAGAGUGUUUUUCCCAUCAUGCAUUGUAGUGGAUUUAAAUGGGUGUCAUUUUCAUUUAUGUGUGGUGAUUUUUAUUUUAAUAAUAUCCACUAAGUUCAGUGAGCAGGUUGAGUUUUGUGUUGGUUAACUUGCGGGAAAGCUUGUUUGGAUUGGGCCAUAUAAGUAAUUGCUGUGCUGCGGGCACU